CCUCUUCGUGUUUACUCUAACAGUACGAGUCGCCGCGUCUCUCCCCCGAGUGUCCCUGAGUCCGUCCGCUCUUGUCGCCCUGCGGUCGUCCCACACUGAGUUCUGAGGGAAGCAGAGUCCAGACCGUUCUUUGAAGACGUCCCCCGCUGCCUCACAAUAACAGAGGGGGGCGUGUAGCAGCGGCGUUCUUGCACUGGUUCGAACGGCGGGGGUCAGAGAGAUGACUGUAUAAACAUUGAAGGCGGUAAUGUGAUGCUGGGAUGGAAGAGCAGGUUUGAUUAAAGUUUAAUGAAGCUUUCGCACAUUUAGAGGAGAGGGGGCGGAGCUUAGAGGUGAACUCCUGCAGCCACACGUCCUCUCUGCUCGCCACCUGGCCUUUGUUUCUGUUCAAACACUCGGUUAUAUCUGCAGACUCUCAGCAGGUGUGAGAGAGAGAAUGAAAAGACCGGACACCAGAGAGAGAGAGUGACGAGCGGCCAAUCAGAUGAGAGGAUGUCUAAAUACAGGAAGGAGAGGGGCGGCGGUCGAACCCUGACAGAUGUGAGGAAGACGUAAGACUGUGUGAUAGAGAGAGAGAGAGAGAGAGAGAUGGACGGACGGAUGGAUGGAUGGACAGCGGAUGGACAGAUGGAUGGAUGGAUGGAUGGAUGGAUGGACAGCGGAUGGACAGAUGGAAGGAUGGAUAAAGUCUGAUUCAGUGGUAUAAGAUAAAACAGCUAAAAUGAGAUGAGGUCAGAUUAAAUGUGACUGAAUUGGAUUUAAAAGAUCAGAUUAGGUGAGAUUACUUUACAUCAGAUUAUAUUGAAUCAGAUUUGAUCAGAUUAGACUAUUUGGAUUAAAAUCAUUGAAUCAAAAUCAUAAAACUGGAUUAGUAUAUAUUUGAAUAAAUCUGUUUCAGUUGUAUUAAACUUGAUUUAAUGAUUAGAUUAGAUUAGAUAAAAUAAAAAAAAAUUCAGAUUAGAUUAAAUUACAUUAUGUAAAAUUACAAUAGAUAAUAUAAAAUAAAAUAAGAUUACAUUAGAUUUCAGGUUAAAUUAGAUUAGAUUAGAUUAAAUUACAUUACAUUUCAUAACAUUAGAUUAAUUAAAAUAUCAUAAGAUAAAAUAAGAUUACAUUCAAUUUCAGAUUAAAGUAAUUUAGAUUAGAUUAGAUUACAUUACAUUACUUUCUUAACAUCACAUUUCAUAAGAUUAGUUUAAGUUUUGGAUUAUAUUAGAUUAGAUUAGAUUAGGUCAGGUUAGAUUAGUCUAGAUUAGAUUAGAUCAGGUCAGGUUAGAUUAGAUUAGAUUAGAUUAGAUUUCGAUGCAGUGUGGUGAUGGUUUUUGGACAGAGACUGUCCAUGAGUCUGUCGGUGUGAACUUUGAUGGAUUUAUAGCUCUUCCUGGGAUUAGAGGGUUAAACAAGUUAUGGGAAAGGAGGAUGAGAUUGGUGCUUAAGGAUGCAGGAAGUCAUCUGUAGACAGCAGGAAGUGUUGCUGUCAUCUACAGGAGGCGGACAUGUAUUGAUAAUAUUCUGGGCUGUGUUUAUGACCCCCUGUAGGGCUUUCCUGUCCCCCACUGAGCUGUUUCCAAACCAAACCAGGAUCCAAAGAGUCAAUAUGCUUCCAGUGGAGCAGCAGUUUAAAGACACCAGCAGUUUGGACUUCCUGAGAGUUUUCAUGUCAACGAUCACAUGACAAACACACUCUUAUUUUACUAAAGCUGCGAGAUCUCCGCUCUCUGCUUCUGCUCACGUGCCGCACUCACAUUCUCAGCCUCAACAUCCACCUGCACGCUCAUACUAGAGGUUUAAGACAUUAUCUCAUCGCUCCACAACGUCUGCAUGAAAAAGAAAAACUGUGGUGAGGAUGGAGCCAAGUCUCGAAAACACAAACAAUGUUCUUCUUCUGCUGCUGCAAUAAACAGUCUAAAGCGUAAACAUGA